UAGUCACUCAGGAGAUAAAUCCAAAGGAAGGACGGACACAUGAGGACUCCCAAAGACCAUAGCAUUUGUCACCAAUUUUCAUGUAUUCAGGCGGAAUUUUAAAAAUCAUUAACAUGUUAUUUAUCUUCACAACUAAGUUAUUUUCUCAAGAUUUUUUGUUUUCACUUUUUAAAAUUUAUUUUAUUGUUGGGCAAUUCUUUAACAGCUGAAGUAAGUACCUCCCAAUGUUAGUAUUCAGGCAUCUGUACUGGCCUGUCCUUGGGGUUCUAAGAGGAUACACCCCUAGCUGCAGCCAGUAAGAGCAUCAUCUGUGUACAUUCACUACUUUCCCUUUUUAAAGGGCCCUGCCUACCUCCCAUCUUACUCUAUCUUUCUCUCCCUCUGUGUUUGCUCUCUCUCUCCCCCUCCCUCCUCUCUUUCUCCCCUUCUUUCCUCUUUCCUCUCUCCUGCUGCUCCUGUCUCCAGAGGUUGGUCUCCCUCCUCCCCUUCCCCUUUUUAUGAUCCAUUUCCCUAAUAAAAAGCCUUCUGCUUGAACCCUGUUUAUGGUCUUUCUCUCAUGCUCUGCUUUUCUUAAAUUACAACAUCUACCAGGCUUCACCACAAGCCUGCCUGGAGUGGAAGGAGCAAGUGCAAAUCCAUUUCUGCAGGUUGGAGAGAUGGAUCAGUCAUUAAAGAACAGUCUCACAAAAUCAGAAGACAAAGUGCCAUCCCACUUUUGGCAUGUAACAGUGGAUUCUGAAGGACCUUUGCACUGACUGGUACCACAGAACUGUGCUUCCUCAGACCUGCCACUUGAUCAGCGGAUCCAUCCCUCCACUCAAAGUUGCUCACCCUGAACCCU
rnacentral:lncRNA from 1 species